GAUCAUGGCUCAGGAUGAACGCUAGCUACAGGCUUAACACAUGCAAGUCGGAGGGGCAGCAUGAUUGAAGCUUGCUUCAAUUGAUGGCGACCGGCGCGACGGGUGAGUAACACGUAUCCAACCUUCCGUACACUCAGGGAUAGCCUUUCGAAAGAAAGAUUAAUACCUGAUGGUAUCUUAAGCACACAUGUAAUUAAGAUUAAAGAUUUAUCGGUGUACGAUGGGGAUGCGUUCCAUUAGGUAGUAGGCGGGGUAACGGCCCACCUAGCCUACGAUGGAUAGGGGUUCUGAGAGGAAGGUCCCCCACAUUGGAACUGAGACACGGUCCAAACUCCUACGGGAGGCAGCAGUGAGGAAUAUUGGUCAAUGGACGAGAGUCUGAACCAGCCAAGUAGCGUGAAGGAUGAAGGUCCUACGGAUUGUAAACUUCUUUUAUAAGGGAAUAAAACCUCCCACGUGUGGGAGCUUGUAUGUACCUUAUGAAUAAGCAUCGGCUAACUCCGUG
rnacentral:rRNA from 1 species